AGUGAACGCUGGCGGUAGGCCUAACACAUGCAAGUCGAACGGCAGCACAGUAAGAGCUUGCUCUUACGGGUGGCGAGUGGCGGACGGGUGAGGAAUACAUCGGAAUCUACUUUUUCGUGGGGGAUAAUGUAGGGAAACUUACGCUAAUACCGCAUACGACCUACGGGUGAAAGCAGGGGAUCCUCGGACCUUGCGCGAUUGAAUGAGCCGAUGUCGGAUUAGCUAGUUGGCGGGGUAAAGGCCCACCAAGGCGACGAUCCGUAGCUGGUCUGAGAGGAUGAUCAGCCACACUGGAACUGAGCCACGGUCCAGACUCCUACGGGAGGCGGCAGUGGGGAAUAUUGGACAAUGGGCGCAAGCCUGAUCCAGCCAUACCGCGUGGGUGAAGAAGGCCUUCGGGUUGUAAAGCCCUUUUGUUGGGAAAGAAAAGCAGCAGGUUAAUACCCCGCUGUUCUGACGGUACCCAAAGAAUAAGCACCGGCUAACUUCGUG
rnacentral:rRNA from 1 species